CCUACGGGCGGCUGCAGUGGGGAAUAUUGGACAAUGGGGGGAACCCUGAUCCAGCCAUGCCGCGUGUGUGAAGAAGGCCCUCGGGUUGUAAAGCACUUUCAGUGAGGAAGAACGCCUGGUGGUUAAUACCCAUCAGGAAAGACAUCACUCACAGAAGAAGCACCGGCUAACUCCGUGCCAGCAGCCGCGGUAAUACGGAGGGUGCGAGCGUUAAUCGGAAUUACUGGGCGUAAAGCGCGCGUAGGUGGCUUGAUAAGCCGGUUGUGAAAGCCCCGGGCUCAACCUGGGAACGGCAUCCGGAACUGUCAAGCUAGAGUGCAGGAGAGGAAGGUAGAAUUCCCGGUGUAGCGGUGAAAUGCGUAGAGAUCGGGAGGAAUACCAGUGGCGAAGGCGGCCUUCUGGGCUGACACUGACACUGAGGUGCGAAAGCGUGGGUAGCAAACAGGAUUAGAUACCCUAGUAGUC
rnacentral:rRNA from 1 species